rnacentral:rRNA from 1 species
CCUACGGGUGGCAGCAGUGGGGAAUAUUGCACAAUGGGGGAAACCCUGAUGCAGCGACGCCGCGUGAGCGAUGAAGUAUUUCGGUAUGUAAAGCCCUAUCAGUAGGGAAGCAAAUGACGGUACCUGACUAAGAAGCCCCGGCUAACUACGUGCCAGCAGCCGCGGUAAUACGCAGGGGGCAAGCGUUAUCCGGAUUUACUGGGUGUAAAGGGAGCGUAGACGGCUGUGCAAGCCAGGUGUGAAAGCCCGGGGCUCAACCCCGGGACUGCAGUUGAAACUGGGUGGCGGGAGUGUCAGAGGGGCAGGCGGAAUUCCUGGUGUAGCGGUGAAAUGCAUAGAUAUUGGGAGGAACACCGGUGGCGAAGGCAGCCUGCUGG